rnacentral:lncRNA from 1 species
AUGGUCUACACUCAGCAGGGACAGGGCAUCCUGUUCCUCAGACUCCACACUGAGGCACGACCCAGCCCAGGGUCCCUGCAACCGAGACUGGGAGACAGGGAAGGUGCAGUGCAUGCAAGCUCCUGGGCCUCAGAGCACACAGCACAGAGGGUGGAGGGAGGGGGCGCUGUGGCCCUCAACCCACACAACAUGAGGAGGGACGAUGAGCGCCAGGCCGCCCGUGACCCCACUGGGGCAGGUCCAGACCCACCAGGCCCUUGGCUUCCAGCCCGCACCCUGCAUCUUUUACCCCACACCUUGAGGUGGAGGCCAGUGAGGAAGAACGCACAUCCUCCAAGGAUCCUGCAAGAGUCUUGGUCCAAAGCCCAGGGCCACAGGAGCCCCCAGGAGCCUCAAGACCAACCUGGCACCAGCGCUGCUAUCACCAGGUCGGGGAAGGGACUACAGGCACAGAGGAAUCCCCAGCUGUGCAGGGUUGCAGGAAGGACAGGCGCACACAGAGCCAGACUGAAGCACCGGAUGCCCUGUCCUUCAGUGCCAGAGGACAACACACCACAGCAGGAAGCAUUGAGAGCAUUCAGAGCCCUGACCUCACUGGCACUGGAAUAAGGAGCUGGAAACAGACCAGGCAGUGCUCAACAUGGGGAUGCUCCUGGGGCGUACAUAAAACACCUAAUUCAAGAAGUGGAGCUCUUAGCUUGAGCUCCAGUCAGUGAGCUGAAAUGGAAAACAAACAAAACAAAACAAAGAAGUAUGUCAAAGCAGAGAAACAUGAAAGAUAUGCAAGCAAUGUUUAAGACCAAACAAAUUCUUGAGAUGAAAACUCCUUUCAGCAAAAUUAGAAACAUGAAGUCAUCAACAGCAGGAAAGACAAACACACAAAGAAAUGGUGAUGUCAAGGACAGAUUAUUUGAAAAUACACAAUUGAAGGUGGAAAAAAAGGAGAGCAAUUUAUUUUUUUUUUGACGAACACAUUACUGUUUUUUAAUAUAAUGAUAAUUGCAUGACAUCAAGAUUUCAUACAUGGUAAAAUGAUUAAAAGUUUCCAAAUGUAUGUACUUGCUGCAUGUUAAGGUCAAAAUAUAAGUUAAGGAUUUGGUUUUUUUCUUUUUGUUUUUUUUUUGUUUUGAAUUUAUAUUAAAUGUUUUUUUUAAAGGCUGCAACAUGAAAAAAGAAGAACACAACAUGGAUUACAUUAUGAUGACCAAGGCAGUGUUCUACAUGACAUAAAUAAAAAUGAAACAAAUGUAUACAGUAAAUAUCCCAGUGCUGAAUACAGUACUUGAAAUUUAACCCAAGCUGCAUAUGCAUAAAAUGAUCUGACUACAGGAUUAUGCAAAAUAAAUUAUUUUGGAACACCAGAAUGUCAACCAUUCUGAUUAUAAAGUGGCUUAUUCCCCUAACGAGUAUUUUGAGACAAUUUCUGUAUGACAUGAAAAGAACUGACAUAACACUUAAAUACUACAAAAAUAGUUGAAAACAUAUUUGUAAUGCAGUUCUCUAUAAAAUAUACAGUUAAUCUUAUUACUUAAAAAAUUAAAAAGCUAAAGACCACCCUGAAUAAUGAUGAAAACCUCAACAAAGAAAAAUGCUCAUCAUUUGGAUAUCACUGGCAGGAAACUGAUAAGAUUUGGUUGAGGGCAACAAGGAAGGUAUCUAAUGAGUCAUUCAUGUAAAAUUCAUUCAAAAAUGUUCAUAAAGUUGUAAAUUUCUGCUUGUAACAUCUUAAAAUAUUAUACCAUGAACAUACUUUCUACUGUUUAACUGGAGGACAAAAGAAUAUCAUGAAGAAAGUGUUUCUCAAAAUAAGAUUCAAAAGUCCAAAAGAGUUCUAAUGUGGGCUCAGUAAUGAACAUGGUAAACAAACACCCUGGGUGAUUAUUCUACACUCUGAAAUGCCCUACAGAAAAGAGCAACACUUAAAAGCAAGAUCCUAAACAUAUUUCUGACAUGUUAGAAUUCUCUAUAAGUUUAUGUUGUUAAUACUGCUUUUUGUUUUAAAACAAGUUCCAGGCAUUAAGAGAAACGUACGUGCCUCGGAAGUGAACAGGAGAAUGUCUAUAAACAUUUUCCUUUGAUGUUUUCAUUAGUUUAAAACUAAAUUAUAUAAAGAAAAGACAAUGCAUGAGUACAAGCUUUGGAAAAGUAAUAUUUCUCAUGAAACGGGGCAUCUAAAAAUGGUUAAAAGAUAAUUUCCUAAAUGUUUACAAAUUCCAAAUCAUCCUGAAUUUAAAACUAGAUCAUUAACUAAAAUUAGAA